GGGAUAGAAGCAGCUGGGGAGAGAGCUGUAAGAGAAAAAGCCACAAGUAAAGAAGCUGCUGCGUAAACCUGCCUUGGUGUCCAUGUUGUUCUUGUCUCCGCAGGUGGCAAGGACUGCGAAAAGUGAUGGCCCAUAUGGGGAACUCAUCACUUUGGUCGGCAAUGGAUUUUGUUUGGUUUUGCUUUUUCGAGGACUUCUGGCACAUCACUAAAUUAUUAAUUUGUGGGAGAAAAUAAAACUAAUGUGGAUCACCAACCAAGAAAGCGUGUCAAAAUACCUCAACAGCAUGACUUAAAAUAUUUGUCGUCUUAUACUUAUUGGGAUAUUGAAGUUGGUGAUCAACGAGGUUUUCUUUUCAUGAUUGGCAUCUGAGACCUGAUGAGGAGCAGCUAACCAGUCCACACUGCCUCUCUUAAAGAACAACUUCAUCUUGAACUGUGGAGAAGAGAGGCACCAUGACCAAGACAACUCCUAUAAAGGACAACAUUCAACUGGGGCUGACUUACAGGUUCAGAGAUUAUCAUCAAGGCACUAAGGAACUCAGAGCCUUGGGCAAAGAUGNNNUGCUCAAAACAGUGAUGGGUCUCCUCUGCCAUAUAGUCAUUACAAAUAACCAAAAUAUCAAGAAUCUUUGUCUCAAGAAUCAAGCUAUACAAAAUGACAGGAAAGAAAAAAUGCUUUAUAUGAAAUGCAUAUGUAAAUCUGGGAAACAACUUGUGUUGAGAAGACAAUAAUGCCGCACAAAAACAACCAACAGUAAAUAGCAUCUGGUUUCUUUUGAAUGGCUAAAUUUUAGCCUAAUUUUUUUCCCUAUCAACAAGCCAAUUGGACACACUCAUUUACUCAAAUGUACAUGUAAGUAAUGUAGGUAAAUGAAAGACAUUAUUCAGAUAAGUGAAUUCUAUUCCUUUUCAUCAUCGCUGUGAUGAAGUUGCAAAGGACACGCUUUUUCUCGUGGCUUUUCCUCAGCCACUGCUUCCUGCUUCUUCAGGAAUGUGGUUCUCUUUUUUAGAAUCUUUAGGGGACAGCCUGAAGAAUUCCCCGAUGCCUUUUUGCCACUUGGGAGUUGGGCGCACACAGAUUGGUUUUCUUCCUGCAUGCUUAUUGUCAGCUUUUCUCGAGGAACUUGAAGAAUUGGUGACGAAGGUGGAGGAGCUGAGCACCUUCCUAGGGGCUUGAGAAGCCAGCGCUUUUCUGUAGGCUCCUGGGACUUGGUUUGCUUUGGUCCGCACCAUGUUUACACAGGAAAAGACACCUUUCACCGACACCCAACUGCAGAUGUCUCAAAUGGACAAGAACCAUAAUUUUCUUUAUAUCCUUUGACAUCGGUAGAUCUCUAAAUGAAAGGACUGGAAUAAUGACCUUAAAAGAGAGUGUGCUC
ensembl:lincRNA